rnacentral:rRNA from 1 species
GACGAACGCUGGCGGCGUGCUUAACACAUGCAAGUCGAACGGAAAGGCCCUGCUUUUGUGGGGUGCUCGAGUGGCGAACGGGUGAGUAACACGUGAGUAACCUGCCCUUGACUUUGGGAUAACUUCAGGAAACUGGGGCUAAUACCGGAUAGGAGCUCCUGCUGCAUGGUGGGGGUUGGAAAGUUUCGGCGGUUGGGGAUGGACUCGCGGCUUAUCAGCUUGUUUGUGGGGUAGUGGCUUACCAAGGCUUUGACGGGUAGCCGGCCUGAGAGGGUGACCGGCGACAUUGGGACUGAGAUACGGCCCAGACUCCAACGGGAGGCAGCAGUGGGGAAUAUUGCACAAUGGGCGGAAGCCUGAUGCAGCAACGCCGCGUGCGGGAUGACGGCCUUCGGGUUGUAAACAGAUUUCGCAUGUGACGAAGCGUGAGUGACGGUAAUGGGUAAAGAAGCACCGGCUAACUACGUG